rnacentral:rRNA from 1 species
ACAGUCACACAUUAGAUACCCGGGUAGUCCUAGCCGUAAACGAUACUCGCUAGGUGUCGGCCACGGUGCGACCGUUGUCGGUGCCGUAGGGAAGCCGUGAAGCGAGCCACCUGGGAAGUACGGCCGCAAGGCUGAAACUUAAGGAAUUGCGGGGGAGCACCACAACGGGUGGAGCUUGCGGUUUAAUUGGAUUCAACGCCGGAAAUCUUACCGGGACCGACAGCAACAUGAAGGCCAGGCUGAAGACUUUGCCGGAUUAGCCG